GCACGGGUGAGUAACACGUGAAUCAUCUACCUUCGAGUGGGGAAUAACUGAGAGAAAUCUUGGCUAAUACCGCAUAAUACCUACGGGUCAAAGCAGCAAUGCGCUUGAAGAGGAGUUCGCGGCAGAUUAGUUAGUUGGCGGGGUAAUGGCCCACCAAGACGAUGAUCUGUAUCCGGCCUGAGAGGGCGCACGGACACACUGGAACUGAAACACGGUCCAGACUCCUACGGGAGGCAGCAGUGGGGAAUUUUGCGCAAUGGGGGAAACCCUGACGCGGCAACGCCGCGUGGAGGAUGAAAUAUCUUGGUAUGUAAACUCCUUUCGAUGGGGAAGAUAAUGACGGUACCCAUAGAAGAAGCCCCGGCUAACUUCGUGCCAGCAGCCGCGGUAAUACGAGGGUGCGAGCGUUGUUCGGAAUUAUUGGGCGUAAAGGGUGUGUAGGCGGUUUGGUAAGUCUUGUGUGAAAUCUUCGGGCUCAACUCGAAGUCUGCACGAGAAACUGCCGGGCUUGAGUGUGGGAGAGGUGAGUGGAAUUUCCGGUGUAGCGGUGAAAUGCGUAGAUAUCGGAAGGAACACCUGU
rnacentral:rRNA from 1 species